rnacentral:rRNA from 1 species
UACAGAGGCCCCAAGCGUUACUGAGAAUCACUGGGUUUAAAGGGUGCGUAGGUGGUCCGUUAAGUUCGUUGUGAAAUCCCUGGGCUCAACCCAGGAAAUGCUUCGAAUACUGGCGGACUUGAGGCUAGUAGGGGUCACUGGAACUGACGGUGGAGCGGUGAAAUGCGUAGAUAUCGUCCGGAACGCCAAUGGUGAAGACAGGUGACUGGGCUAGUUCUGACACUGAGGCACGAAAGCGUGGGGAUCAAACGGG